rnacentral:rRNA from 1 species
AAAGGAAUAGACGGGGGCCCGCACAAGCGGCGGAGCAUGCGGAUUAAUUCGAUGCAACGCGAAGAACCUUACCAAGGCUUGACAUGGACCGGGAGCGUGCAGAGAUGUGCGUGCCUUUUUGGCUGGUCCACAGGUGGUGCAUGGUUGUCGUCAGCUCGUGUCGUGAGAUGUUGGGUUAAGUCCCGCAACGAGCGCAACCCUUGUCCUAUGUUGCCAGCGGGUAAUGCCGGGGACUCGUGGGAGACUGCCGGGGUCAACUCGGAGGAAGGUGGGGAUGACGUCAAAUCAUCAUGCCCCUUAUGUCUUGGGCUUCACGCAUGCUACAAUGGCCGGUACAAAGUGCUGCGAUACCGUGAGGUGGAGCGAAUCACAUAAAGCCGGUCUCAGUUCGGAUUGGGGUCUGCAACUCGACCCCAUGAAGUCGGAGUCGCUAGUAAUCGCAGAUCAGCAACGCUGCGGUGAAUACGUUCUCGGGCCUUGUACACACCGCCCGU